AUACGUAGGUGGCGAGCGUUGUCCGGAAUUACUGGGUGUAAAGGGCGUGUAGGCGGGGACGCAAGUCAGAUGUGAAAUACCGGAGCUUAACUCCGGGGGUGCAUCUGAAACUGCGACUCUUGAGUGCUGGAGAGGAAAGCGGAAUUCCUAGUGUAGCGGUGAAAUGCGUAGAUAUUAGGAGGAACACCAGUGGCGAAGGCGGCUUUCUGGACAGUAACUGACGCUGAGGCGCGAAAGCGUGGGGAGCAAACAGGAUUAGAUACCCUGGUAGUCCACGCCGUAAACGAUGGAUACUAGGUGUAGGAGGUAUCGACCCCUUCUGUGCCGCAGUUAACACAAUAAGUAUCCCACCUGGGGAGUACGAUCGCAAGAUUGAA
rnacentral:rRNA from 1 species